AACGAACGCUGGCGGCAGGCCUAACACAUGCAAGUCGAGCGCCCCGCAAGGGGAGCGGCGGACGGGUGAGUAACGCGUGGGAACGUACCCUUUGCUACGGAAUAGCCUCGGGAAACUGGGAGUAAUACCGUAUGUGUCCUUCGGGAGAAAGAUUUAUCGGCAAGGGAUCGGCCCGCGUUGGAUUAGGUAGUUGGUGUGGUAAUGGCCUACCAAGCCGACGAUCCAUAGCUGGUUUGAGAGGAUGAUCAGCCACACUGGGACUGAGACACGGCCCAGACUCCUACGGGAGGCAGCAGUGGGGAAUCUUAGACAAUGGGCGCAAGCCUGAUCUAGCCAUGCCGCGUGAGCGAUGAAGGCCUUAGGGUUGUAAAGCUCUUUCAGGGGGGAAGAUAAUGACUGUACCCCCAGAAGAAGCCCCGGCUAACUCCGUG
rnacentral:rRNA from 1 species